rnacentral:tRNA from 1 species
GCCUUCGUGCUGUAAUUCGAAACACGUCCGGUUAGCAAUCGGAAGGUUCGGAGUUCGAUUCCCAACGAAGGCA